AUGGGCGCCGGCUUGUUUGGCUAUUUAGAUCAAACCCUAGAGGAGCCUCCCAAAACCAUCUCCGCCAAAGACAAAGACGACAAGGACCAGGUGAUUCCAAACCCUGCCUAUGCCACCUGGCUGAUCCAGGAUCAACAAAUCGUUGCUUAUCUCCUCCGCAACCUGUCCAAAGAAGUUCUUGUCCAAGUUGCCUCGCUUGAAUCCUCCCAUGCGAUAUGGGCUGCAUUGGCGACUAUGUUCUCUGCCGUCUCGUUGUCCCGUGUCAACAACAUCCGAUUUGCGCUAACCAACGCG
rnacentral:rRNA from 1 species